UACGGGGGGGGCAAGCGUUGUUCGGAAUUACUGGGCGUAAAGGGCUCGUAGGUGGCCAACUAAGUCAGACGUGAAAUCCCUCAGCUUAACUGGGGAACUGCGUCUGAUACUGGAUGGCUUGAGUUUGGGAGAGGGAUGCGGAAUUCCAGGUGUAGCGGUGAAAUGCGUAGAUAUCUGGAGGAACACCGGUGGCGAAGGCGGCAUCCUGGACCAACACUGACACUGUUGAGCGAAAGCCAGGGGAGCAAACGGG
rnacentral:rRNA from 1 species